ACACUCAUAGCCUAGUGGUUAAGGUUUUGGUCUUAUAAGUGGAAGGUUAAGGGUUCAAUUCCCAUUGGUA
rnacentral:tRNA from 1 species